UACGUAGGGUGCAAGCGUUGUCCGGAAUUAUUGGGCGUAAAGAGCUCGUAGGCGGUUUGUCGCGUCUGCUGUGAAAACUCAGGGCUUAACCCUGAGCUUGCAGUGGGUACGGGCAGACUAGAGUGCGGUAGGGGAGACUGGAAUUCCUGGUGUAGCGGUGAAAUGCGCAGAUAUCAGGAGGAACACCGGUGGCGAAGGCGGGGUCUCUGGGCCGUAACU
rnacentral:rRNA from 1 species